UCUUCAUAAUCCUAUAAAUACCCCCCUUUUCUUUUCUUCUUGCAGCGCCUCCAUCUCCUAUCCUCUUAACAUAUCUAUUUCUUUCUUAACAUCUCUUUCUCAUUCUCCUUUCCCCUUCAGAUUUCAUUCUUCUUGUAGCUUUAUCCACCGAUCACUAUUUAUAAAUCUACGAGGAUCCUUUGCUGAUAUGAACUUGAAGAGAAUGGAAGUUACAGGUGGCUAAGUCUUGCCAAGUUCUAUGGCCUACUCUGAUACCCGGCCAAUGUGUAAGGGAAGAUUCAACUCUGGCAGCAUAAGGUAUAAUUGGCAGAAAACAAUUGAGAGGGAUUACAGUAGGAGCAGAACUUCUUUUAUGGAAUUUGAAUCAGACUGGACAAAGAACAGAAAGUCA